ACGCUCGACACCUACGGGAAGCAGCAGUGGGGAAUAUUGCACAAUGGGGGAAACCCUGAUGCAGCGACGCCGCGUGGAGGAAGAAGGUCUUCGGAUUGUAAACUCCUGUUGUUGGGGAAAAAGAGGAUGGUACCCAACAAGGAAGUGACGGCUAACUACGUGCCUGCAGCCGCGGUAAUCUGAGCGGGCUGGCAAGGC
rnacentral:rRNA from 1 species